rnacentral:lncRNA from 1 species
GGCAAGGAAGUUUGGGAAAUGCGGUUUCCAGGCUGCCAGCCCCUGAAGUACAGAGGAGACUGUGGAAAGGCAGGAGUGAGCCCAGGAGCCACAGGCAACAUCCGGGGAUAGCUGCCAAGAGGAAGCAGUGAGUCAAGAACGUGGCUCCUGAACGUCAAGUCUUGGAAUUCAAACACUUCCAUCAAGUAACAGUCAGCAGCCCUGAGAAUUGUUGCUGCUAUCUAGAAGAUAGUGCAUCCUCGAGCCAGAACCCCAGUGACAACCUCAGGCUGCACUUGUGCUCCCAUCUUCUGUAUUAAAUGUCCUUUAUCCAGCCCAACAGAUGAAAACAUCCUCAUCUGAGGCACCUGACCCUGAGUCCAGAGCACUGGGAACGAAAAGAAUAUCCUGAGACACCCGUUCUCUUAUUCCUGGGAGCCGUCCUCCAGCUCCUGCAGUUACAUUUCCUCUGGGAAGUGUCUCAUUUUCCUCGUCUUGACAUUUUUCGUGCUUGUGAAAAUGGUCCUGCAAAACACUCUGUUGGUAUACAUGAGUUAUUUCACAAUUUCCCCUUCCUCGGUUGACGACUGUGAAGUAGGGAAGCGAACGCUGUCAAAGAUAAUGAUGAACAAUGUGUGUGGCGAACAAGUAUGGGCGCUGCAGCCCCUUCUCUGGCUUUGCCUUAAUCUCCAGCAAGAGGGAAAAAGAACCCGUCGAACCAUUUAGGGAUGAGGGACGCCUGGGGCCUUGCAGAGGCCUUCAGAGCCCAACAUCUAAAAAUGUUUCCCAAAUUGAGUUGAAAGCAAACUGUCCUCAGUAGCGAAGUAGACUGAAUGCUGGAUAAAAGCGCUCUUGCUUUCUAAUCCCCAUGGCGAGGCCAACACUGAUCUUACGAGCUAAAGUUGACCUAGGAAACACAGUUGUAAGCAUUUUCCUUUCUCUUCAAUGACAAUAAAAAUGGACACGCUCUAACUGUAAUUAAGACGGGAGUAGAGGCUAGUGGGGAUCUAUCUGGCAUCUAGCGCCACCUUGUGUGGCACAUCCAAAUCCCAGGCCCUUUUCAGGGACCCAAAGAUGAAAAAUGACAGCAUUCUUGAAGAGGAGUUUGCAUUUAAUAAUCAUGGGAGUGGUUAUUUUCUUGGGAAUACAAACUGAUAGAUAGAAAUAAUUAGCACUUGACUGGCGCCUUGUAGUGAACAAAGCACUCCCACAUGGCUGAUCCCAUUUAAUCCUGGCAGCAGCCCUGAGCUGGCCGUGCUAGAGCUCAGCCUCAGAGAUGUGAAGACUGAGGCUUGGAGAAGCUGGCCACUGGCAUGGGGCAAGUCCUGGACUUGAA